GCACUAGUAAUAAAUUUAAAAAUAUUGUGGUAUGACAAUAUAUGUAGCACUCAAAAUGUUGGUAACUGCAUUACUGCAGUUUUUAGUGUGCCAAGGAGCAGUGCAAAAUGAUGACAGCACCACAUAAGCCUCUUUUGCACUUAUUCAACUCUGCCAUUCUAUUGUGAAAGCAAUCAUAGACAAUACCUAAACGAAUGAGUGUGGCCAUGUUCCGAUAAAAUUUCAUGAGCACUGAAAGUUGAAUUUUACAUAAUUCCUUGUGUUACAAAAUAUUACUCUGUUAGCCAUUAGAUUUUUUUCAGCCAUUAGAAAAUGUAAAACUAUUCUUAUGAGCUGGCUGGAUUUGGCCUGUGGACCAAAUCUGUGACCCCUAUUCCAGAGUAUUUUCGAGUCAGUUAAUCCAUGCUUGCCAGUUCCAAAUUUUAUAAACCACAUUCAAACCUGUUAAUCCGCUGUUACCUUUCUCAUUUUGCCGUUUAGGUUUUAAAAUGAAGAGCAGUGUUUUGUUAGAAAAAACAAAGUGUUUACCAUAACAAGAAAGAUAUGUAGACAAGAAAGAUAUUUAUGUAGACUCUCUGUUCAUUAAAUUUUGAAGCCAGAUGACGCAUUGUUAGUUUUGACAACUGACUUAAAUUUUUGUAUAAUUAUUUAUCUUUGCAUUUUGCUCAGGUAAAUUAUCUUCCGAGAGUCUAAAAAUAAAGAUAUCCCUGAUCCUGUUUAAAAACAUAAAUAAUCCUCUCAAUGUAAAUUGUUUUGAAAUAAGAUCUUAAAAGUACAAAAUGUAGACAAUAUUCAGGUGCUUAAUUUUGAGCCAAUAUGUAGAAAAGAAAAACUAAUUUCUCUGUGGCAGUAUUUUUAUUUUUUGGCAUUUCCCAGGAAUUAACUGAAGACUAAAAACUCAUAUGUGCAAGUGUAAUGACACUAACCAAAGAGUCAGUAAAAAUUACACUUGGCUACCAUGUAUAUAUGUAUAUAUGUAUGUAUGUGUGUGUGUGUAUUACAUAUGUGAGACAGGGUCUCUAUUGCCCCAGGCUGGAGUGCAGUGGCAUGAUCUCAGCUUACUGCAGCCUCAAUCUCCCAGGCUGAAGCGAUCCUCCCACCUCGGCCUCCCGAGUACCUGGGACUACAGACACCACCACACCUGGCUAAUUUUUAAAUUUUUUAUAGAGACACAGUCUUGCCAUGUUGCCUGUGUUGGUCUUGAACUCCUGAGCUCAAGUAAUUCUCCCACCUUGGCCUCCUGUAGUGCUGGAAUUACAGGCAUAAGCCACUGUGUCCGGCCCCAUGUAUGUUAAUAGUGAAUGUUUGGCUUUUCAUUUGUUUCUUUCAGCUAGUAAAGGAUAUCUGUUACAGACACAUCAAAAAUUUCACUUUCAAAGUCAUUGUUGACACAUCAGUGCUGCAUCUACUUUUCUCCCUUUAGCUCAUUUGAUAUUGAUACUUCCGAGAAACUUUAUAACUACCCUAAAAAUCUUGUCAGUGACCAUUAACUGCCAAUCAUCACCUCAUUUCCUUUUAGAGACUAAUUUCACAAUAACUAGGCUACUACUAGAAGCCUAGGCUGUGAGUAUAAAACCAUAGCUGUUAGAGUGAUUUUUUGGCAAUAGCUCACAUUCUGUUAAGAGUCAUUUGCUUUAAUCAAAGAUCAUGAUUUUAUUUUUUAUAAGUAGGGAUGGGGCCAAGAUUACUCCUCUGGCACAGCAGUAAGUGUACUCAAGGUCUGUGCCUGUAAGCUUGAGUAUUUGGCUUAAAUUUUGUACAUAUAAAUACUGUUAAAGGUAUAUUUGACUACAUUUUGAAAGGAAAAAGGUAGUCCUGCUAAAAUUGACAUUUAGGGAUAUUUUAAUCUAUGUAUUUGGUAAAGUAAUUAGUGAAGUAUUAGUUAUAAAAUUUUUAAGGAAAACGUUUAAAAGCACAGUAGUCAUAUCAGAUAGAAUAGAAUAUACCAAAGAUAAAACAAGUCUCUGUUACAAAUGAAGUUGUCUGUACAGACAACUGAGAUAUUUUAAUUUUAUUUACAUAAAAAUGCUGUUCAAUAUCUAAUGAUUUCUGUUGUUUGUAUUCUGUACUUUAGAGUAGUAAAAUAAGUUUGAGUAUCUC